UGUACACACGGGACACCGACGACUGCAGUCCGGCUGCUUGCGAAAGAGCUGUGUUUCCUGCUGGUGGUAGUACUGGGUCGUUUCCGAAACGGUGACGUCAGGGGUAGCGCAGUGCUCGGGCCGCAGACGAGUCCCGGGAAGCUCCUCGGCCCUCUCUGCAAAGCCAAGUCUGAAGGCUGAUGGUGGACGCCUAUGAAAAUGCACGUCUCUGAGGAAAUCAAAUCUUUGAGAACCGAC